UAGAGUUUGAUCCUGGCUCAGAACGAACGCUGGCGGCAGGCUUAACACAUGCAAGUCGAGCGCCCAGCAAUGGGAGCGGCGGACGGGUGAGUAACACGUGGGAACAUGCCCUUCGGUACGGAACAACUCAGGGAAACUUGAGCUAAUACCGCAUACGCCCUAACGGGGAAAGAUUUAUCGCCGAAGGAUUGGCCCGCGCCUGAUUAGCUAGUUGGUGAGGUAAUGGCUCACCAAGGCUUCGAUCAGUAGCUGGUUUGAGAGAGCGACCAGCCACACUGGGACUGAGACACGGCCCAGACUCCUACGGGAGGCAGCAGUGGGGAAUCUUGGACAAUGGGCGAAAGCCUGAUCCAGCCAUGCCGCGUGAGUGAUGAAGGCCCUAGGGUUGUAAAACUCUUUCGGCGGGGACGAUAAUGACGGUACCCGCAGAAGAAGCUCCGGCUAACUUCGUGCCAGCAGCCGCGGUAAUACGAAGGGGGCUAGCGUUGUUCGGAAUUACUGGGCGUAAAGCGUGCGCAGGCGGCUUUUCAAGUCAGGGGUGAAAGCCCAGAGCUCAACUCUGGAAUUGCCCUUGAAACUGGAUGGCUCGAGUGCGGGAGAGGUGAGUGGAAUUCCCAGUGUAGAGGUGAAAUUCGUAGAUAUUGGGAAGAACACCGGUGGCGAAGGCGGCUCACUGGCCCGUUUCUGACGCUCAUGCACGACAGCGUGGGGAUCAAACAGGAUUAGAUACCCUGGUAGUCCACGCCGUAAACGAUGGACGCUAGCCGUUGGGCAGCUUGCUGUUCAGUGGCGCAGCUAACGCAUUAAGCGUCCCGCCUGGGGAGUACGGCCGCAAGGUUGAAACUCAAAGAAUUGACGGGGGCCCGCCCAACCGGUGGAGCAUGUGGUUCAAUUCGACGCAGCGGAAGACCCUUACCACCUUUGGGCAUCGAAGGGGCGGAGAGAAGGUUCCUGCAUGGCUGGUGGUCAAGCUCGUGUCGUGAGAUGUUGGGUUAAGUCCCCGGCAAAGGAGCGCAACCCUCGCCUUUAGUUGCCAUCAUUAAGUUGGGCACUCUAGAGGGACCGCCGACGACAAGCCGGAGGAAGGUGGGGAUGACGUCAAGUCCUCAUGGCCCUUACACCCUGGGCUACACACGGUGCUACAAUGGCGGUGACAAUGGGCAGCUAACCCGCGAGGGCAAGCUAAUCCCAAAAACCGGUCCCAGUUCAGAUUGCACUCUGCAACUCGGGUGCAUGAAGGUGGAAUCGCUAGUAAUCGCAGAACAGCAGGCUGCGGUGAAUACGUUCCCGGGCCUUGUACACUCCGCCCGUCACACCAUGGGAGUUGGCAUUACCCGAAGACGGUGCGCUAACCGCAAGG
rnacentral:rRNA from 1 species